rnacentral:rRNA from 1 species
GGGUCCGCACAAGCGGUGGAGCAUGUGGUUUAAUUCGAUAAUACGCGAGGAACCUUACCUAGGCUAGAAUGCGAGUGACAUCCAGAGAGAUCUGGAGUUCUUCGGACACAAAGCAAGGUGCUGCAUGGUUGUCGUCAGCUCGUGCCGUGAGGUGUUGGGUUAAGUCCCGCAACGAGCGCAACCCCUGUUUUUAGUUGCCAGCAAGUAAUGUUGGGGACUCUAGAAAGACUGCCUGCGUAAGCAGAGAGGAAGGAGGGGACGACGUCAAAUCAGCAUGGCCCUUAUGCCUAGGGCUACACACGUGCUACAAUGGCGUAUACAAAGGGUAGCGAACCAGUGAUGGUAAGCCAAUCUCUAAAAGUACGUCUCAGUUCGGAUUGAAGUCUGCAACUCGACUUCAUGAAGCUGGAAUCGCUAGUAAUCGUGUAU